UGAGGAAUAUUGCACAAUGGGCGCAAGCCUGAUGCAGCAACGCCGCGUGAGGGACGAAGGCCUUCGGGUCGUAAACCUCUUUUCUGAGGGACGAGUAAGGACGGUACCUCAGGAAUAAGUCUCGGCUAACUACGUGCCAGCGGCCGCGGUAAAACGUAGGAGGCGAGCGUUAUCCGGAUUUACUGGGCGUAAAGCGUACGCAGGUGGCCUCGUGAGUCGGACAUGAGAGCUCCUGGCUUAACUGGGAGAGGUUGUUCGAUACUGCGGGGCUUGGGGUUGGGAGAGGGACGUGGAAUUCCCGGUGUAGUGGUGGAAUGCGUAGAUAUCGGGAGGAACACCAGUGGCGCAAGCGGCGUCCUGGCCCACACCUGACGCUGAGGGACGAAAGCGUGGGUAGCAAACAG
rnacentral:rRNA from 1 species